AUUGCACAAUGGGUGAUCGCUUCUCUUUUGAGAAGAGGAAAGUCCGAACACCUCAGAGCAGGAUGCCCUGGGAAACCAGGGGCAAUAUAUCGUAAUGAUAUGUUGACGGAUAGUGUCACAGAAAAUAUACCGCCCAAUUUGGGUAAGGGUGAAAAGGCGGGGAUCACGAGUAAAUGAUCUUAAUGUAAGAGCCCACCGCCGUUAAUCGCAAGGUUAGCGUGGCUGAUAAACCCCUUCCGGUGCAAGAUCAAGUAAAGAUACUGUGCGGCUCGUACAUAAUGUAUCUGAGUAGAUCGCGUAGAUAAAUGAUCACCACCUGAAAUUUUUGGUACAGAAUUCGGCUUAUAGUUGUGCAAUUAUG
rnacentral:RNase_P_RNA from 1 species